rnacentral:misc_RNA from 1 species
AAAAAAAAAAAAAAAGAAAAUCAAAGAAAUGGCAAGCAAGCUUGCUAUUAUUACCCUUCUCCUUGUUGCCCUUAUUGGGGUGGCCUCAGCUGCAUCACCUGCUCCCAGCACCCCCGCCAAUGAUACUAUUGGUAACGAGGAUGACUCUGCUGGAGCAGGUGCACCGGGUGCUGCUGCUAGUGAUGUUGUCCCUGGACCAUUAGGCAGUGCAUCAUCAACUAAUCAGGGCGCUUCUGCUGAAGCACCAACGAGCGGAGCCAGUGCCUUCCCGGUCUCCGCCAUUGCUGGAGUUGCAGCUGUUGCUGGCUACUUCUUCUAAAGCUGCUUUUUUUUACCUUUAAUUUUUAUAAUUCUUAUUUCUCAGUCACGUAAAAUGAGUACUACCUUUAAGUUCGCGUUUUGGGCAGAAAGUGAAUUUAAAGAAAUUGAGGAUGAGAUUAAUUCUCCAGAUCCUGGAGUCAAUCUGAAUAAAGUCUGAUUUGAUUUGAUUAUUAUUGUUAUUAUUAUUAU